CACCGCGGUUAUACGAGAGGCCCAAGCUGACAGUUCCCGGCGUAAAGAGUGGUUAAUAACCCCACCAGACUAAAGCCGAACAUCUCCAAAGUUGUACAACGCACUCGAAGAUAUGAAGACCAACCACGAAAGUGACUUUACACUCUUUGAACCCACGAAAGCUAGGGAA
rnacentral:rRNA from 2 species